GAUGAACUAGAUGUGGUAUUGAUGGACAUAGAUGACAUUCUUCCUUCAAAUCCUCAAUACGACCAUCCCUUGAUAUUGAAUCAGUGUGGCUCUAAGUGUUGUUUUGAAGAAGCAAAACAUUUGAAGGAAAUGAUUUUUCUAAGAUUAUAUACAGAGCUUCAAGCUAGAGGGUGGUCUUUUAUUUUGUUAUCAAGGAAGCCUGAUACACUACGAAAUGCCUCCAUAGAUCACCUUAUUUCUGCAGGAUACAGAGGUUGGUCUUCAGUGAUUAUGAGAUCGGAUGAUGAAAUGGAAAUGGAUAGUCGUGAAUAUUUUUUGAGACGAAGGUUGAUAAUGCAGAGAAAGGGCUUCCGUAUCGCAUGUGUGAUUAGCAGCCAGAUGGAUGCAUUAACAGGCCCCUUUUCAGGACAACGCAUUUUUAAGCUUCCUAACCCGAUGUGUUAUUAUUCCAAUCAUCCGAUGGAGAAAAUGUAUGCACCAAAAUUAUGAUGUUCCUUGUUAGCACCUUGAUUUGUUAUUCAGUAGUUCUACAGUUUCUCGCUGUAAAGCCUGCUCGGCCUUUAUCUGAACUACCUGGGUUCUCCUUAAGUAUUUUGUUGUAUAUAGGUAUUGAUAUCAUUGGUUUGAUCGAGUUCAUCACAAUUAUCAUUCAUAUUAUGUGCUAAAAAAUACUUAAGGAG
rnacentral:misc_RNA from 1 species